GCCAGGUGUGGUGGCGUGCGCCUGUAAUCCCAGCUACUUGGGAGGCUGAGGCAGGAUAAUCGCUUGAACCCAGGAGGUAGAGGCUGCAGUGAGCCAAGACUGUGCCAAUGCACUGCAGCCUGGGUGACACAGCAAGACUCUGUCUCAA
ensembl:misc_RNA Metazoa_SRP Metazoan signal recognition particle RNA